UUUUCACAUCUACCUUUUUAAGCAAAUUGUUAUAAAUUCAGCUUUAAAUAUCCACUUAAACGGCUUUUAACACUCAGUAGUUGGUGGCAUUUUAUUUGCUUUAAGUCAUUUUAUUGCAUUUAUUUCAUGUAUGUUUUUAUCUAAUUUUCUUUUGUCUAUUUUAUUGUAAAUAUGUGGAAUUGUUUUUAAUGCAUCUUAAAUAAAACGUAUCAUAAUCGUUGGUUUAAUGGUCUUUAUUAUUUACUUUUCUUGCCCAGUUUCGGCUUUUUGAAUCAUCUUUGUUGAUUUUGACGUUAAAUAAAAAAGAUUCAAUUGCAGUUUUAAGUCAAAUUUUGCAUAUGCAUGAUGGUGGUUUUCUUUUGCAGCGUGGGAGCUCCGGUUUUGCUUAAACGUUACAGAAAGAUUCAUUGCAUUGUUUGCAUUUCUGUAAAACUACAAUCGCAGGAUGAAACUUUCUUUUCUGCUUCGCCACGUUCUGUCUUUUUCAUGAACUCAUUCCAGUCAUUUCUCUGCAGGCUGCAGGUAUGCAUGUCACGCUGCCUGUCGAAACAAAGUGUCGCUCGACUGUCAUCUCGUCAGCCAGGACCGGCUCAACAACAACAACAACAACACCCCCGCGCCGCUCCAUAUAAUCAAAGUAAAGGUCUAAACUUAAAUAAGAACUCUGGUUCACAUCUCCGGACUGACAUGAAGGUUUUUUAAUGAAGUCCACGAGGUUUCCCUCUAAUGCCACAUCGCCAAGGCAACCACACUGUUGGGGUCAAGGAGGACGGUCUGCCUGGUUACAAAAACUUUACCUCAGAUCAAGUCAAGACACAGAAGUAUGUUGUAGUUUUUGAGUCAAUGAUCGGGUUCAAUAGAUGUGGUGGAGGUGAGGCUUCAGGAUGCAUUUUGAGGUUCUUUUCGUGGCUCUUAGCGCUCUUUUCUUAACGUCACACGUGCUUUGACCACACGGGUCGUUGUGGAGCCCUGAGGUUACUUCAGUCGUAGACUUUUAAUCGUUAGUAGAGGUAAAACAAGAACCUGUGGAACAGUCUCUCUGAGGGCAACAGGAAAGGUCCAAAUGUGCUUUUUUACUAAUGUUGUCCUGUUUAUUUAUUNNNNNNNNNNGAUAUGUUCCCCUUUUUCCUUUGGUUUUCAUUCUGUGUUUUAAAUAUUUGCCGUUUUAUUUAGUUUAUAAAGUAUUACCAGUUAUUUGUUCUGCAUUUGCUUUUAUUUAGUAAACUUAAUUUUACAGUGAUUGUCGUUGACAAGUUUCACGCAUGCCUAGCAACUUUAAGGGUAAAAAAAAUUACAUAUAAUUAACAACAAAUGCUUUAACUGUGGAAUUGUGCAUAACUUAAAAAUACGUCUUCAGCAGAACACGUUAUGUCGUAAUUAAUCAUGUGGGUAAAUCAAGUAUAAAUAAUGGUUGCUAUGGAAAAUUCAGAAUUUACUCCAGCACGGAGUCAUCAAAUUUGGUACACAUCUUUAUCAAUCCUUGAUUAUUAUAAAACUGUAUGGUUGCUAUGGAGAAUUCUAAAUUUUACUUUGACGUAGAGACACCGAAAUAUAUACACAUGUUUAUCAAGCCUUGAUGAUUAAUAAACCAUGUGGUUGCUAUGGGAAAAUCACCUAUACAGUGGGAUUGUUGUCUAAUUUAAAUAAAAUAUGACUUUUAAAGCCUCUACUGAACUGUUUGAGAUACUUUUGAUUUUUCUUACAUUAUAUCCUCAUCAUAUUAUUACAGUCUGUGAGAAGAACGGUCUAACUUGAGGUUUGGUUUAAGUAGAAAGGGGCGUUUGGAAUUAAAAGGCUGUCUGGGUGAAAGGGCUAUGAUGCACUAUAAUUAACCAAAGCACAAAAAGUAAUGAAACUCAAGAGAGAUGGAGCCUUCCUCUUCUUCCUCUUCCACAACCGCCAUACGAAGCUCUGCUGCUCCUUUCUCCCACAGAUGCUCCUCUCAACUGGGUCUUCUAUAAAAAAGAAAUUCUGCAGCCUCUCAUAUAAUGAAAAUCAUCUGACAGACGUUUUCUACCGUUUGGUACAAAAGUUUAGACUGGAAAAGGGCAGAAGUUCAUGAGAAGGCUAGACGGCAUUUUGGGGUUAAUGUGUUUUGAACUAAACCAAAGGAGAACUGUGGACGGUCAAGUGACGAGGUGCCUGCUUAUCAACGCAUUUGCUGCUUUUCAAAGGCCCAGAUUUGGGUUUGGCAGCUCCAGAGCUUUCAGAUUUAUCGGUGGUCUCUUUCUGACCUCCUUGGUUUUAAAUUAGAGCCCUUUUGCCCAGAAAUCUGUGGUCUUUAGCGGAGUUGUAGGAGUGGGUUCAGCUCGAUUUGUUGCAGCUGGACCAAACGUUUGACUGCAGCUGAACGUGCUUUGCUGAUGUUUAUGGGUGUUUUUUUUUUCUUUUCAUGGCUGAUAUCAGAGUGAAACCUUUAAAAUCCUGUUCAGUGGGGAACGCUAAAGAAAGUGGCUGAAAUUGGGAGUAAAUUAAAUUACCCCACUUCUGAGGAACAGUUUCCAUUUGUUGGCCCAUGAAAAAGCGAUAUGAAGCCUUUUUUUGUGACAAAUCUGAUUCUUUUUAUGUGCGCAUAAACCCAACAGUCAAGUCACCUCUGACUGAAGCCUGAUGUAAAACAUGCCUGUAGGUUUUAUGGAGCCAAAUGACGACAGCAGCCAAUUAUGGAGACCCUCCUGUUGUAAUAAACCCAAAGCUCGUUGUAAAAAACCGUCAAUGUGCCGAGCGGGAGCCUGUUCACACAUGUGCAGUUGACCGACCCUAGUUUCAAAAUGUUUUUAGAAAAGACACGGGUUUCCUGUUAUUAUUGUGGAAAAAUAAAAAGCUUAAAGUUCAGACUGAAAUGAAGAGAAUUCAGUUAAAAAUGUCAAACUUUACAACCCGAACGUCCUUGUUUUCAACCAGAACAAAGAACUAUGUGUUCUUUGACAACAGCUUUCAGGUUAAGAAGACUUUUGUGUUUGAAUUUCUGGUGGCGGGAUCGAUUCCCACCAGGGUCCGUUAUCAUGGAAAGUGCGCUUUGAUUUGUUUGAGUGGUUCAGACCUUCUUCCAGACGACCUGCCAGGUACCCAUGAUGCAAUUUUAAGAAUUCUCCUCACCUGAUGACUAAAGUCUAUUUUUCUAUCCAUCCAUCCGGCCACCUACCCAUCUGUCCCUUCGUCCAUCCAUGUGUCUGUCCACCCAUCCAUCAUCCAUCCUUCCUAUAUCCAGCCAUCUAUCUGACCAUCCAUUUUUCCACCCACCCACCUGUCCCCCUGUUCUUCUGAUCAUCCAUCCAUCCAUCCUUCUUAUAUCCAUCCAUCUAUCCCCCUGUUCUUCCGUUCAUCCAUCCACACAACCACCCAUCUGUCCACCCAUUUACCUGUCUGUUUGUCCAUCUAUGUAUCUGGACAUCCAACCAUAUAUCCAUUCAUCUGCCCAUUUAUCCCUCCAUGCAUAUAUUCAUCUACCCACCCACCUCCCCAUCCAUCCAGUUGGAUGAACUCACCUGAACUCUUUAGAUCAAAGAAAGUGAACCCUUGUCCCCUUGUGAACGUUCUCUAGGACGGUUCACCUGAGUGUGAAUACAAACGUAAGUGGAGAUCAAAGAAAGUGAAUUAAUUUUAUGCAUUAUAAGAAGGAAAAAAAAGAAAAAGAACAGCAACAUCGAGAAUCUGAAUGAAUUUUCUUCUGUUUCUCAUUACACUACGUUCACCCCCCCCCCCCCCCCCACAUUUCUCCUUAUGAAAGAGACCUUUAAGACAGGAACUCGUGUUGGGUUGUUACCUGUUUGUCUGAAGUUUUUUGGAAUCAGUUUUUCAGAUACAAAGCCCAAACCCUGGUCUUAAAGAAGAUUUUUAAAAAUGGUCAAAUAUGUGAGGCGGUUUCUGGAAUAUGCACAGAAAUGCACAGUUGACGACCCUCCUCCAAUCAUAUUAUAAACCACACUUUUUUGUGGAGUUUGGAUCUCAUAUGUGAAAUAAAACAUUUCUAUAUAAAAACUAUAGUUGCUAAGGAUAUUAAAAACAACCACAGAAAUUGCUUUUUUAAAUUUUGAAACCAGACUUGUAAUUUAUUUUGCAAAGCUGCAUAAUCAAGCUUGGCUGCUGAUGAUUUCUACUUUUGAACUGGCUUCAAACAGGAAGUCAAAGAGAUGUGUCUUGGUUUUUACCGGUUUUAUCAUUCUGCUCAUUUUAGUCUUACUAAAACAAAAGUAUUUAGAGUCAAAUGUGACUUUUUUUUGUUAGUUAACUAGUUUUUCUAAGGUGAAAGGGCUGUUUUUCCCUCCAGUUUGUUAAAUUUCUCUUAUAUUUUUAAAGCUGGGCUGCAUAUUGAUUAAUAAAUAGUUUCUUUCAGCUUCUGAUCAUUUGAUUAAGACCUUCUUAUUGUCCAGACAGAAGGUUUACACAACCACACACUGACUCAAACACGUGACACAGCUCUUUUGAAUCUAAACACCAGGAAAGCGUCGCGGCUUUACGGCUGAUGUCUUUUGAUGUCUGCUGAGUGGGGUUGGGGGGGGGGGGGAGAUCACCUGAGCAGAAAAGCAAAGGUAAAACCCUCAGAAAUGCUCUAAAAAAGGACGUUUGCUCCAGGCCACUUCUCAGGUUGGCUGAGAGGAACAAUGCAGGGGCAAACUGAACUUUCGAGAACACCAUGAGUAGAAACCUUUCAGCUGCAGCGGCUUUGACUCAGGAAUUCUUUGAACAUCCAUCAUGUAAAAGUUGAUCCGACUCCUUUAGAGAUGCGUAUUUUGAAAUGGAAAUAAAAGCUUGGAUCCACCCACACAGUUAGCUUAAAUCGCUUUUUGUAAUUAGACAGAAACAACUGUUUGCUUAUUUACUGACAUCUCACCGUAUCUGAGUUUGUUUUUUUGUUUUUUUAUAGGGGAAUGAAAGUUUUUAGACUCAAGCUAAAGAAAUCUGCUCUAUAAUUUUGGUUUUAGGCGGGUGACUUCAUAUUUGGUGGUGAUGUGUAAUCAAAACAGUGUUUCAAAUGUAGUUUACCAUUAAAGAAACCAAAAUUCAAAAUUCUCUUCACUAUUUUUACAUCUUAACAUAAUUUUAAGCACUUUGUCGUCAUUUUACAUCUAUUGGUAGCUGCUCUACACCACUUUGGUCAUUUCUUCUGUAUUUUGUAGUCCAGUUUUGAUCAUUUACAUCAAAGUUUUUGGUGAUUUUACCUGUAAAGGUUAACAACUGCUGUUUUCAUUAAAAAUUCUUUGUUUUUUUGUCAUUUUGCCUCUGUGCCCUCUCUGAUGGUGUUGCGUUUCGAACCUCUUGGCCUAAAAAUCCUGUUAAACGUGAAAAACCAGUCGUCUUUUCCGAGUAAAAAGAGGGAUUUUUGCAGUUGACAGGUGAUUGCUCAGUCGAGCAGAAAGUCGGGCGUCACUAUGAGCUGAUUAAAGAGUUCAUCAGAAGCUCAGUUCAAGUGAACUGGAAAAACUGGUCUGAAAGAAAAACUGAAUUGUUUUCAUUGCUUACUCAACU
rnacentral:lncRNA from 1 species